UUGCGCGCAGGUAGAAACACGAACCGGUAGGUAGUCCGGUUGCGUGAAGGCCCGUCGAUCGACGCGAUCUUCACGUCAGUAUCCGGCUCGUCGAGCCGUCCAUCCUCCGCGGGAGUAAU
rnacentral:ncRNA from 1 species